rnacentral:rRNA from 1 species
UACGGAGGGUGCAAGCAUUGAUCGGAAUUACUGGGCGUAAAGGGCGCGCAGGCGGAUGAGAAAGUCAGAUGUGAAAUUCCGGGGCUCAACCCCGGAGCUGCAUUUGAAACUUCUAAUCUAGAGUACAGUUAGGGAAAACGGAAUUCCACGUGUAGCGGUGAAAUGCGUAGAUAUGUGGAAGAACACCGGUGGUGAAGACGGUUUUCUGGGCUGUGACAGACGCUGAGGAGCGAAAGCUAGGGGAGCAAACAGG